UGGGGGAUAUUGCACAAUGGGCGAAAGCCUGAUGCAGCGACGCCGCGUGGGGGAUGAAGGCCUUCGGGUUGUAAACUUCUUUUGCUCUGAACAAGGCAUGCCUUUGGGGUGUGUUGAGUGUAGGGGUUGAUUAGCGCCGGCUAACUACGUGCCAGCAGCCGCGGUAAUACGUAGGGCGCGAGCGUUGUCCGGAAUUAUUGGGCGUAAAGGGCUUGUAGGUGGCUGGUUGCGUCUGUCGUGAAAGCUCAUGGCUUAACUGUGGGUUUGCGGUGGGUACGGGCUGGCUUGAGUGCAGUAGGGGAGGCUGGAAUUCCUGGUGUAGCGGUGGAAUGCACAGAUAUCAGGAGGAAUACCGGUGGCGAAGGCGGGUCUCUGGGCUGUUACUGACGCUGAGGAGCGAAAGCGUGGGGAGCGAACAGG
rnacentral:rRNA from 1 species